GGUGCUGUAGUGUAGAGGUAAUUAUCAUUCGAGAUUCUGAUUCUCGAAAGCCAUCGAGUCCUGGCAGUGCCU